rnacentral:lncRNA from 1 species
CCUCCCUUAUCUGGGCAUUGAAAAUGGUGCAACUAGUCUUGUGCCACUUAACAUCGUCAAGAGUACCAAAGUAAUCCCUCAACACUUGAAGCAUUUCCUCUAACUGAGCUUCUUCAAACUUUCGACUGAACUCAUCGUCCAUGGAGGCCCGCAUGAUGCAAUGAAUUAUGGUGCGAUCGUUGAGCCACUUCAAAUAAGUAUCUGAAACCUCUCCUCGGGCAUUAGGAGCAGGCUCCUCAGGUGCCGGAUCCGUUAUCACAUAAAGGAUCCUCUCGUGCUCCAAAACUAUCUUUAACUUGCGAUACCAAUUAUUAAAAUUCGAUCUGCUAAGCUUCUCACUGUCCAA